GGCUUCGUAGUUAAGUGGUAAGAACACUUCCCUCUCAGACUGGAGUCCCGUGUUCGAUCCCCGGUCGAGGAGCUA